UCAUGACGGGGCGUAUACAAGUUUUG
rnacentral:sRNA from 1 species